rnacentral:lncRNA from 1 species
UGAACGACCGUACAUUCGCAGUGCGAAGAAGCCCGAGUACGCGUCCACUGGAGGUUGGCAUGAGGAGGAGUCUCGAGGUCCUUGAAGGUGGCGCCGUCGAUUCCGCCGACAGCCUGGGAGACUUGGCCCGGGAUCCACGCAUUCACCUCCUCUGCGCGGUGCCCUGUUUGUUGGCCGAGGCAGGCUACCCGAAGCAGCUGCAUUUGGAGGCUACGUGCGCGCUUCGCCGUGAGGCCGGCCGUCUUCUCGGCAAUGGGCUCCCUCCUCGUUCGCGGCGGAGCAGCUCCAAUUCCUCCAGGUUCCCUCGGUGUCGCCUCUGGCGAAUCCGAUUCAGCUGAGGAGUUGAUGGCGCCGACGCUGCUGCCACCGUGGCUGGCGGCAUGCUCACCGAC